GAUAAACGCUGGCGGCGUGCCUAACACAUGCAAGUCGAACGAUCCCGCAAGGGAGAGUGGCGGAAGGGUGAGUAACACGUGGGAAUCUACCUCCUCGCAGGGAACAACCUCUCGAAAGAGAGGCUAAUACCCAAAAGGGUCAGUAAUGAUCAGAGUCGAAAGGCGUGAGGAGAGGAGCCCGCGGCCCAUCAGCUAGUUGGUGAGGUAAUGGCUUACCAAGGCUACGACGGGUAGGGGAUCUGAGAGGAUGUCCCCCACACUGGAACUGAAACACGGUCCAGACGCCUACGGGUGGCAGCAGUGAGGAAUAUUGGACAAUGGGCGAAAGCCCGAUCCAGCAACGCCGCGUGGAGGAUGAAGGCCUUGGGUCGUAAACUUCUUUAGAGGGAGACGAGAAAGGACGGUAUCCCUAGAAUAAGCGACGGCAAACUACGUGCCAGCAGCCGCGGUAA
rnacentral:rRNA from 1 species